rnacentral:tRNA from 1 species
GACCUUGAAGUGGUUAACCACACUUAAGUUUCGGCCUUAAAGAGAGAUUAUUAAUCCAUGGUUA